rnacentral:rRNA from 1 species
GUGGUAAUGCCGGAUGCUCCAGUUGACCGCAUGGUCCUCUGGGAAAGCUUUUGCGGUAUGGGAUGGGGUCGCGUCCUAUCAGCUUGAUGGCGGGGUAACGGCCCACCAUGGCUUCGACGGGUAGCCGGCCUGAGAGGGCGACCGGCCACAUUGGGACUGAGAUACGGCCCAGACUCCUACGGGAGGCAGCAGUGGGGAAUAUUGCACAAUGGGCGCAAGCCUGAUGCAGCGACGCCGCGUGCGGGAUGACGGCCUUCGGGUUGUAAACCGCUUUUGACUGGGAGCAAGCCCUUCGGGGUGAGUGUACCUUUCGAAUAAGCACCGGCUAACUACGUGCCAGCAGCCGCGGUAAUACGUAGGGUGCAAGCGUUAUCCGGAAUUAUUGGGCGUAAAGGGCUCGUAGGCGGUUCGUCGCGUCCGGUGUGAAAGUCCAUCGCUUAACGGUGGAUCCGCGCCGGGUACGGGCGGGCUUGAGUGCGGUAGGGGAGACUGGAAUUCCCGGUGUAACGGUGGAAUGUGUAGAUAUCG